rnacentral:rRNA from 1 species
GACGAACGCUGGCGGCGUGCCUAAUACAUGCAAGUCGAACGCAGUGGGGACGGGUGAGUAACACGUGGGUAACCUCCCCAUCAGAGUGGAUAACACUUGGACACAGGUGCUAAACCGAUACUGAUGUAUGUACCCGCGGUGCAUGAGCUAGUGGGUGAGGUAACGGCUCACCAAGGCAACGAUGCAUAGCCGGGUGGAGAGGGGGACCGGCCACACUGGGACUGAGACACGGCCCAGACUCCUACGGGAGGCAGCAGUAGGGAAUCUUCGGCAAUGGAGGAAAGUCUGACCGAGCAACGCCGCGUGAGUGAAGAAGGUUUUCGGAUCGUAAAACUCUGUUGUUAGAGAAGCGGUAUCUAACCAGAAAGCAAUGGCUAACUACGUGCCAGCAGCCGCGGUAAUUC